UACGGAGGGGGCUAGCGUUGUUCGGAAUUACUGGGCGUAAAGCGCACGUAGGCGGCUUUGCAAGUCAGAGGUGAAAGCCCGGGGCUCAACCCCGGAAUUGCCUUUGGGACUGCAUCGCUAGAAUUGUGGAGAGGUAAGUGGAAUUCCGAGUGUAGAGGUGAAAUUCGUAGAUAUUCGGAAGAACACCAGUGGCGAAGGCGACUUACUGGACACAUAUUGACGCUGAGGUGCGAAAGCGUGGGGAGCAAACAGG
rnacentral:rRNA from 1 species